rnacentral:rRNA from 1 species
UACGUAGGGUGCAAGCGUUAAUCGGAAUUACUGGGCGUAAAGCGUGCGCAGGCGGUUUUGUAAGUCUGUCGUGAAAUCCCCGGGCUUAACCUGGGAAUUGCGAUGGAGACUGCAAGGCUAGAAUCUGGCAGAGGGGGGGUAGAAUUCCACGUGUAGCAGUGAAAUGCGUAGAGAUGUGGAGGAACACCGAUGGCGAAGGCAGCCCCCCUGGGUCAAGAUUGACGCUCAUGCA